UAAUUAUAUACAGAUUUCGUUUUCUCUCUCUCUCUCUGUUUAUAUAUUUAUCUAUCUUUCUCUCUUUCUCUCUCUUUAAAAUACCAAAAAAAAAAAUAAAACCCAUAAACCUCCAUAACCACCACACUCCGGCGACCCACCUCCGGCCACCGUCCGACCCAACGCGCCGGACAAAUUGAAAGCCCAAGUGCCGGCGACCUCACCCCCCAAGCGGCGCCGCUCCUCUCGCCGCCGUUGACUCGGGAUCGCAAGUCAAAGUUUGGGAUUUCAAACUUUGAACGGGUUUUCCGGUCACCUCCGGCGUCCGUUUGACGAGAGGUUUUCACCACUACACUCAGCUCGUCGAGGAGAACAACCUACACUAAACCAUUUUUCCCGGUUCGCAACUUUUUCCGGUGACAUUUUUGUAGCUCCGCCCCUUUCCGGCGACUUUCCGGUGACCUCGUGUACCGUUUUGACAAACGGUUGGCAUGAGUGUGAUCUACUCGUCGAGGUGGUCGUUUUGAUAUAUACUACUCCUAUUUUCGGCGACAUUUCCGGUACACCAAUUUUUACCGCCACCGAUUGUUAAUGUGCACCGCUUAGGUGAGAGUAAUAUGUAAGUUUGGACUAAACAAUUGGAGCUCGGGACUUGAGAGCUUAAGAUCGUCUUUUGGAAAAAAAAAAAAGUUUAACGACUUGGGAGAGGUAGGGACUCAACUUGAUUUUUGGACUUGAUUUUUAUAUGCGUUGUAUACAUUAGACAUAUUCCAAUUUUUAUGAUUUACAAAAUUGUUUGAAAAAUUGAAAACUUAAUCUGCAUAUUUUCUGGACUGUUCUGGGGCACCGAGUGCCAAAUAUAUUUUUGUGUGCAAAUAUUUAUGCAGGUUAUGAUUUUUGGGUUUAUUCAAAAUACAGCUGUUAUGCUGCCGAAUUUUCUAGAAAAUAAAAAGGAAUAUGUUCUUUUGUUAUGCUUAUUAUUUGCCUGCUUUGGUUAUAUUGAUGAGAGCCAUGUUGAUCAUGUUCGAUGCAUAUUGUUGUUUCACGACCUAGUCUCUGUGUCAUCAUAGGUAGAUCAGGUGUGCACUCACCUGUAGGUGAAAGACCUAGAAUCUGUACAGGAGUGAAUUAAAUCUGAGCCCCGUUAUUUAUGGUGGGUAUCAGAUGCGACUACCCGGUUUUGGAUGUCGUUUUCUAUGAUUUGGUAUUGAGAGCUAGGGGUCUAGUGGACGGUGUGAUAUGCAUUUGACGUUUGAUUUGUGAUUAUUUGUGGUCUCUCUAUUUUAUUUGUACAUAUUCAUACUGUUGAUGAGACAUUUUAUUUUUAUAAAGCUAACCAUGCAGGAAUUUUAUUAAACCAAGGGUCCUUUGAUAUUAGUUGUUUUCCUACUGGGCUUUAUAAGCUCACCCCCCCUAUUUUCUCCCAUUCCAGGAACUCAGUUUGAUGCUAGUGGAUGAGGAUGGUACUGUUGGGAAAGGAAUUUUGUUAUUAGUUUAGUCAUAUUUUACUCUUUCACCUUCUAAUGAGACUGAUUUUGUAUUUAAGAACCAAUGGAUGGUCUGGAUGACUUAAAUUAGCUAUGUACUAGUUAGAAAUGAGAAAUGAUGGAUGCUAGGUAUUAUUUUGGUAUUUUAUUGACUUAUUAAAUCUAUCUAUUUGGUGAUUACAUAA